AUACUUACCUGCAGGGGAGAUACUUUAAGCAUGAAGAUGGUUUUCCUAGGGUGAGGCUUGUCUAUUGCACUUCACUUAUGCUGACCCCUAAGAUUUUCCCAAAUGUGGGAAACUUGAUUGCGUGAUUUGUGGUAGUGGGGGACUGUGUUUGUGCUCUCCUCUA
rfam:Erinaceus europaeus unplaced genomic scaffold scaffold00590, whole genome shotgun sequence